UUAGUGAGCUAAACUCAUCGGAUUAGCGAGCCGAGCGAACCAAAACGACGGGGACGACGCGAGGAUCGACUUUCCUCAAAGCGGGCCGAGCAUCCGGGCUCGGGAAGGCGGCCAAAACGAGCCAAACGUCCGCUGCAUACCUAUUUUCCAACUCUCUGUUUGCUGCUGGUUGGGGGCGAAGGAGGGCAGAUCCGGAGCUGGUUCGGCGGAGGAAUGGCGGAUCCGGCACCGGUUGAGGUGCACAAGGGCCGAGGGACUUCCGGCGAGCUGAGGCGGGGGCGCACGGUGGCUCACGGCGGCGGGGAUGAGCUCCGGCAGCUCCCGGAACCCACGAACCGAGACUGAGAUGCAGC
rnacentral:lncRNA from 1 species